rnacentral:rRNA from 1 species
CCCUACGGGGCGCAGCAGGCGCGAAACCUCCUCAAUGCACUUACGUGCGAAGGGGCUACCUCGAGUGCCACCUGAUGAAGGUGGCUUUUCCUAGGUCUAAAAAGCCUUGGGAAUAAGAGGGGGGCAAGACUGAUGUCAGCCGCCGCGGUAACACCAGCCCCUCGAGUGGUGGGGAUGAUUAUUGGGCCUAAAGCGUCCGUAGCCUGCCGUAUAAGUUUCCCGUUAAAUCCAGCGUCUCAAGCGUUGGACUGCGGGAAAUACUGUACGGCUAGAGAGUGGGAGAGGUCAGCGGUAUUCUGGGGGUAGGGG